CAAAUUUAUAAUUAAAUAAUGUUAUUUCCUUUAGAUUUAUUAGCUUUAUUGUAACCUUUGAAAGGUACAAAAACCCGUGGAAACGGUGAAUUACUAUAAUAGAUUGAAAAUGAUUAUCAUUUAUCAUUUUGACGUUUGAGUGAUUGAAAUGAGUUAAUUUACACUACAUCGAAUGUCAUGUUGAAUGUCAUGUUGAAUCUUAUGCGUACUUCACAAUGGUUGCUAUUUCGUUGUAUUAUUUCAACAGUAUUACUAUUUAUAAUCAAAUUUGUUUGAUAUUUAUAUUUCAUGUUAUUUACAAAAUGUGCUGUAGUUUUGAAGCUUUGCACACAAUAUCAUCAGUGCGAGCACAAUGGCUCCGUUUCAGUUUGAGUAUAUAAAAAUCGAGUAUUUUGAUAGCGUUGGGCUUCGAGGCUUUCACGAUAUAUCACGCCUCCUAAAUAUGAUAGCGUUGGGGCUUUGAGGCUUUCACGCCUCCUAAAUAUAAACGCCUGAUAAUUGAUAAAUAAUCAGAGCGAGCACAACGGCUGCAAAAUCACAACAAAUAACAAAAUAUAAGGCAAGUUAAAAACAGUAAAGCUUUACCUACCUCGAUUUCCUUUUCUAAGGCGCUCAAUUAUGUAAAUUUACGGCGAAUAAUCAGUAUUUCUUUGCGUUUCUUUCGACGAAAACCCGGCAUGAAAAUGCUCGUCCGAAAAACUCGGUAUUUGUCGUACAGUCGUACUUUACGAAUCUACCACGUGAUUUACGACCGGUACGCACAGUGCCGGAACACGACGACAUGAAAUUUAGAGCUAUAUGAAAGUUGCAUGCCAUAUAUGGCAUGCAACAAAAAUCCUUAAAAAAUCCGCAAAUCCACAAAAAAUAUAUGAAGUACUUGGUGUAAUUUACUCGUAAAGGUUCUUUUCCACGUUCAAAAUGGC